CCUCUGACUGUUCUCAGCCUUUCAUCCAUCCCCUUGGAGAGGGCUGGGCUCUGCCAUGGUCUUCGCUGUGCUUGCCUUGGCAGAAGCUGCAUCAACUCAGCAUUUAGCCAUGGCCUAAUGGGACCGAGGGAGGCCCGGCCCUCUCACCACUCCUGACUCAUGUGAGGCCCUCACCAUAGGAUGUGGGACCUGGGUUUCCUCAUGGCUGCCCUAGUGGAUAGACACUUUGGAAGUGUGGAAGGAAAAUUCUGCCUAAUGGAAGACAGGAGAUGUGCUCCAGAGGAUAAAUUCAUCUCCCUUUCUUCCCCUGAUGGACUCUUUUGAGGUGAGGUGGUUUCACAAGGCCUAUCUGGAAGUCAUGCCACACAGCCAACCAACUGGCCAUGUUUGCUUGUGAAGCUGUGGCUUGAUCAGUGAUAUGCUACCAUACAUUUGCAGACUCUAUCUCCUUUCCCCUCUGCUCUUGCUGUCUUGGGAUUGCACUUUCCCAUAAGGCCUUGGCAUGUACGUUUUCCCACAGGCUUUGUUUUCUAGGGAACUCAAGGGAAGAUAAUUGGAAGCAGGAGUGGGCCUAGAAAGCAGACCCUCAGGCUUGGAUUUUGAAGUUGAAUUGCCUAUCUGUCUGAAAGCCAUAGGCACUCCAUUGCUGGUGGUGGGAAAAGUUCUCUGUUUUUAAGGACUCAUGUGAUCAGAUUGGGUCCACCUGAUAAUCCAGGAUAAUCUCCCCAUCUCAAGCUACCAUGAAGACUGUGCUGAAAAUCAGGCUCAGGAUUUAAUUUAAAGGUGGUAGAAGUGCAAGACAUUAUACGCACCAGCUCAACAGGUCUCCUCUGCCAAAGUCAGGACCCUGAUAGGAAAAGAUGGGGACUUUGAGACAAGCAAUGGGUAACCUUAAAUCCCCCAAUUGCUCUGGAUCCUUAUUGGCAGAAGCAGCUCCUUCUCCCUUUCCAAAGGAAAACAUCCAUCCAUCCCUCCUCUCUAUAGCCCCCAUCCCAUUGCCUUAAUACCACACAAAGCCUCGUAUAAAGUAGAUAACAUGCUUGUUCUCCUUAAGUCAACUCCCACCAUCUUUCAUUGCCUUUAGGCCAUUAAACAGAUUCAGGCCUCAGUUCAGCCUGAAUAGGGAAGUAUGAGUCCUGCUUCAGGAAGAAAUCGUCCUCACAAAGGAACUGCAGAUCUGGCUAAGAAGU